CCUACGGGCGGCAGCAGUCGAGAAUCAUUCACAAUGGGGGAAACCCUGAUGGUGCGACGCCGCGUGGGGGAAUGAAGGUCUUCGGAUUGUAAACCCCUGUCAUGUGGGAGCAAAUUAAAAAGAUAGUACCACAAUAGGAAGAGACGGCUAACUCUGUGCCAGCAGCCGCGGUAAUACAGAGGUCUCAAGCGUUGUUCGGAAUCACUGGGCGUAAAGCGUGCGUAGGCUGUUUCGUAAGUCGUGUGUGAAAGGCGCGGGCUCAACCCGCGGACGGCACAUGAUACUGCGAGACUAGAGUAAGGGAGGGGGAACCGGAAUUCUCGGUGUAGCAGUGAAAUGCGUAGAUAUCGAGAGGAACACUCGUGGCGAAGGCGGGUUCCUGGACAUUAACUGACGCUGAGGCACGAAGGCCAGGGGAGCGAAAGGGAUUAGAUACCCUAGUAGUC
rnacentral:rRNA from 1 species